ACCAGCCCAGACAGCACACAUACAUCUGCCCGAUGUCGAUUUCAGAUCAGCAUGGAAUCCUCCCAUAUAAUAAUGUCGCAGGGGUAUCGGCCUGAAGUCGCUUCCAUGAGAAGAACCUGAUUUUUGGGGGAACAUUUUCUAACAGCAUUUUUUCAUCAUUCAGACUUUUUUAAACAUUCAAUAAAAUGAAUUGAAAAUA